rnacentral:rRNA from 1 species
UACGUAGGGUCCGAGCGUUGUCCGGAAUUAUCUGGGCGUAAAGAGCUCGUAGGUGGUUUGUCGCGUUGUUCGUGAAAACUCACAGCUUAACUGUGGGCGUGCGGGCGAUAACGGGCAGACGUAGAGUACUGCGAGGGGAGACUGGAAUUCCUGGUGUAGCGGUGGAAUGCGCAGAUAUCAGGAAGAACACCCGUGGCGGAAGGCGGCUCUCUGGGACGGUACUGGACGCUGA